AGAGUUUGAUCAUGGCUCAGAACGUACGCUGGCGGCACGCCUAAUACAUGCAAGUCGAACGAAGUAGCAAUACUUAGUGGCAGACGGGUGAGUAACAUGUGGGUAUCUUCCCUUUGGUGAGGAAUAACACGAGGAAACUUGUGCUAAUACCUCAUAAGUCUUUACGGAGAAAGCUUUAUGCGCCAUUGGAUGAGCCCGCACUUGAUUAGUUUGUUGGUGGGGUAAUGGCCUACCAAGACAAUGAUCAAUAGCUGAUUUGAGAGGAUGAUCAGCCACAUUGGGACUGAGACACGGCCCAAACUCCUACGGGAGGCAGCAGUGGGGAAUCUUGCACAAUGGGGGAAACCCUGAUGCAGCGAUGCCGCGUGAGUGAAGAAGGCCUUUGGGUUGUAAAGCUCUUUCGUCGGGGAAGAAAAUGACUGUACCCGAAUAAGAAGGUCCGGCUAACUUCGUGCCAGCAGCCGCGGUAAUACGAAGGGACCUAGCGUAGUUCGGAAUUACUGGGCUUAAAGAGUUCGUAGGUGGUUAAAAAAGUUGGUGGUGAAAUCCCAGAGCUUAACUCUGGAACUGCCAUCAAAACUUUUUAGCUAGAGUAUGAUAGAGGAAAGCAGAAUUUCUAGUGUAGAGGUGAAAUUCGUAGAUAUUAGAAAGAAUACCAAUUGCGAAGGCAGCUUUCUGGAUCAUUACUGACACUGAGGAACGAAAGCAUGGGUAGCGAAGAGGAUUAGAUACCCUCGUAGUCCAUGCCGUAAACGAUGUGUGUUAGACGUUGGAAAUUUAUUUUCAGUGUCGCAGCGAAAGCAAUAAACACACCGCCUGGGGAGUACGACCGCAAGGUUAAAACUCAAAUGAAUUGACGGGGACCCGCACAAGUAGUGGAGCAUGUGGUUUAAUUCGAAGAUACGCGCAGAACCUUACCAACACUUGACAUGUUCGUCGCGACUCUAAGAGAUUAGAGUUUUCGGUUCGGCCGGACGAAACACAGGUGCUGCAUGGCUGUCGUCAGCUCGUGUCGUGAGAUGUUGGGUUAAGUCCCGCAACGAGCGCAACCCCUACCCUUAAUUGCCAUCGGGUUAUGCCGGGCACUUUAGGGGGACUGCCGGUGACAAGCCGGAGGAGGGUGGGGAUGACGUCAAGUCCUCAUGGCCUUUAUGACCAGGGCUACACACGUGUUACAAUGGGAGUUACAGAGGGAAGCUAAACCGCGAGGUCAUGCCAAUCCCAGAAAAACUUUCUCAGUUCGGAUCGCAGUCUGCAACUCGACUGCGUGAAGCUGGAAUCGCUAGUAAUCGCGGAUCAGCACGCCGCGGUGAAUACGUUCCCGGGCCUUGUACACACCGCCCGUCACACCAUGGGAGCCGACAAGGGCAGAAGUCGCCGAGCUAACCUUCGGGAAGCAGGCGCCCAAGCUGUUGUUGACGACUGGGGUGAAGUCGUAACAAGGUAGCCGUAGGAGAACCUGCGGCUG
rnacentral:rRNA from 1 species